rnacentral:rRNA from 1 species
CCUACGGGAGGCAGCAGUGGGGAAUAUUGCACAAUGGGCGCAAGCCUGAUGCAGCAACGCCGCGUGAGGGACGACGGCCUUCGGGUUGUAAACCUCUUUUAGUAGGGAAGAAGCGAAAGUGACGGUACCUGCAGAAAAAGCACCGGCUAACUACGUGCCAGCAGCCGCGGUAAUACGUAGGGUGCAAGCGUUAUCCGGAAUUAUUGGGCGUAAAGAGCUCGUAGGCGGUUUGUCGCGUCUGCUGUGAAAACUGGAGGCUCAACCUCCAGCCUGCAGUGGGUACGGGCAGACUAGAGUGCGGUAGGGGAGAUUGGAAUUCCUGGUGUAGCGGUGGAAUGCGCAGAUAUCAGGAGGAACACCGAUGGCGAAGGCAGAUCUCUGGGCCGUAACUGACGCUGAGGAGCGAAAGCAUGGGGAGCGAACAGGAUUAGAUACCCUGGUAGUCCAUGCCGUAAACGUUGGGAACUAGAUGUAGGGACCAUUCCACGGUUUCUGUGUCGCAGCUAACGCAUUAAGUUCCCCGCCUGGGGAGUACGGCCGCAAGGCUAAAACUUAAAUGAAUUGACGG